AGAAGGCACCUGCUGGCUGGAGGCAGCUCCACACACAGCAGUUGCUGGAGAGGCCAGGUCGGGUCUGUCUGCCGCUGCAGCUGUGUGUGCUGCGGGCAGCUAGAGAGCAUCUAGCUCACCGCACCUCUCCUGGUGGAGAACGGAACAGCUGGGCUGGUGUUUGAAUAGCCCAAAGCCUCGGCUUCAAGAGGGAAGGCUGCAGCUCAGAGGGAGAACGCUUGCCAAUCGUGUACAGCCUCGUCCUUCUGUCUGACAAAGCAGGAGCUCUUGGCGGUGUGAAGAGAGCAUUGGACGGAACCCCCUGGGAACUGGAGUUAUAAGCAUUUAUGAGCAGCUAUGUGGAUGCUGGGAACCGAACCCAGGUCCUCUACAAGAGUGUUUCACCUGACCAGCAUCAAGUAUCCCAGCAAAGCAAAGCUAGUAGCUCUGGUAUCUUGUUAAUCACAGAUAACCAUCUUCAGACCCCCCCCCCCCCGCUAACCAUAACCACAGGAUCUUAAUUCAAAGUAACAAAUGACCCCGACAGAGUCUUUCAACUUCUCUCUGAAAUUUUGUCAAGCCAGGCCUCCAUUCUCUGCACUGCUAUCAACAUUCUUAUCUUCAAGUUCCCACAGAACAUCCCACUGAGCUCUCGACACUCAAUGGCUCUUCUAGGCCAAAGCUUCAAAGUUCUUCCACGGUCCAAAUGUGGUCAGGUCUGUCACAGCAAUACCCCAGUCCUGGUACCCACCUGUCUUAGUUAAGGUUCUUAUUGCUUCAACAAAACACCAUGACCAAAAAGCGAGUUGGAGAGGAAAGGGUUUACUUGGCCACACUUUCAUAUUUCCCUUCAUCCCCGAGAGAAGUCAGGACAGGAGCUCAAGCAGGGCAGGAACCUGGAGGCAGGAGCUGAUGCAGAGGCCAUGGAGGGAAAC